GGGAAACGGAGCGGAGUGGAACCGCGAUUACAGAUGAGUGUUGGUGGCCAGUGUGCUGGCGUUCCGAAUGUUGAAGGGUUUGUGUACAGUCACCAGUAAUAAAAUCACGGAAGCGUCUCUGGGUUUAACGCCGAAUGGGCGUGUAACUAGAACGAAUCUCGAUAUCCGCUGGGAACUCUCUCUCACUCUCGCGGCCAGGUGCGUAUAACCAACAAAGCAUUGAGACGGUCCCCCUGCUCUGCGCGCUGAGAAUAUAAUAUCAAAUGUUUUUCAACAGACUGUGCUGGUGUUACAGGGUGUUUAUAUACUGUAAUUGCUGCCGUGUGCUUGGGCGGAUGGCCUAGCCAAAGUAGGUAUUUGUUAGCCUGAUUAUCUAAUUAACUGUUAGACUUUGGCCUUGCAAAGACUCCUCCUUAUUCUAUGUGUAGCCCGUUGUUA